rnacentral:rRNA from 1 species
ACGUUAGCGGCGGACGGGUGAGUAACACGUGGGUAACCUACCUAUAAGACUGGGAUAACUUCGGGAAACCGGAGCUAAUACCGGAUAAUAUUUCGAACCGCAUGGUUCGAUAGUGAAAGGUGGUUUUGCUAUCACUUAUAGAUGGACCCGCGCCGUAUUAGCUAGUUGGUAAGGUAACGGCUUACCAAGGCGACGAUACGUAGCCGACCUGAGAGGGUGAUCGGCCACACUGGAACUGANACACGGUCCAGACUCCUACGGGAGGCAGCAGCU